AGAUUGAACGCUGGCGGCAUGCCUUACACAUGCAAGUCGAACGGCAGCACGGGAGCAAUCCUGGUGGCGAGUGGCGAACGGGUGAGUAAUACAUCGGAACGUGCCCAAUCGUGGGGGAUAACGCAGCGAAAGCUGUGCUAAUACCGCAUAAGAUCUACGGAUGAAAGCAGGGGAUCGCAAGACCUUGCGCGAAUGGAGCGGCCGAUGGCAGAUUAGGUAGUUGGUGAGGUAAAGGCUCACCAAGCCUUCGAUCUGUAGCUGGUCUGAGAGGACGACCAGCCACA
rnacentral:rRNA from 1 species